UGGGGUUAUGGGGUUAUUAAUGGGGUUAUGGGAUUAUUAAUGGGGUUAUGGGGUUAUUAAUGGGAUUAUGGGGUUAUUAAUGGGGUUAUGGGGUUAUUAAUGGGGUUAUGGGGUUAUUAAUGGGGUUAUUAAUGGGAUUAUGGGAUUAUUAAUGGGAUUAUGGGGUUAUUAAUGGGGUUAUGAGGUUAUUAAUGGGGUUAUGAGGUUAUUAAUGGGGUUAUGGGGUUAUUAAUGGGGUUAAUGGGGUUAUUAAUGGGAUUAUGGGGUUAUUAAUGGGGUUAUGGGAUUAUUAAUGGGAUUAUGGGGUUAUCAAUGGGAUUAUGGCCCUAUUAAUGGGAUUAUGGGAUUAUUAAUGGGGUUAUGGGGUUAUUGAUGGGAUUAUGACCCUAUUAAUGGGAUUAUGGCCCUAUUAACAGGAUUAUCAAUGGGAUUAUGGGAUUAUCAAUGGGAUUAUGACCCUAUUAACGGGAUUAUGACCCUAUUAAUGGGAUUAUUAAUGGGAUUAUGACCCUAUUAAUGGGAUUAUGGCCCUAUUAAUGGGAUUAUGGCCCUAUUAAUGGGAUUAUCAAUGGGAUUAUGGGAUUAUUGACGGGAUAAUGGGAUUAUCAAUGGGAUUAAUGGGAUUCCUGAUGGGAUUAUGGGAUUCUUAAUGGGAUUCUUAAUGGGAUUAUGGGAUUAUCAAUGGGAUUAAUAAUGGGAUUAUGGCCCUAUUAAUGGGAUU
rnacentral:lncRNA from 1 species